rnacentral:lncRNA from 1 species
UACUAAUUCUCACGCCUGAGCUAUCCCCCGACGGAACCGCCGUCAAGCUUUCGGUGUUGACUCUGUUUACUGUGCAGGAUCAGGACGUCUUACGUGAUUGGGACGUGGAGAAAGAUCCUGGCGUUAACAUUGGCGCUAGAAGAAGGGCUUUUUGAGUUCUAGUGUCAUUAAAAUUUUCAAUCACAAUCGUUUAACCUACUUUGGAAGAUGAUGAAGAGUAGGGAUGGUACACCAG